rnacentral:rRNA from 1 species
UACGAAGGGGGCUAGCGUUGUUCGAAAUUACUGGGCGUAAAGCGCACGUAGGCGGAUCCUUAAGUCAGGGGUGAAAUCCCGAGGCUCAACCUCGGAACUGCCUUUGAUACUGGGGAUAUCGAGUCCGGGAGAGGUGAGUGGAACUGCGAGUGUAGAGGUGAAAUUCGUAGAUAUUCGCAAGAACACCAGUGGCGAAGGCGGCUCACUGGCCCGAUACUGACGCUGAGGUGCGAAAGCGUGGGAGCAAACAGGG